UACGUAGGGGGCAAGCGUUGUCCGGAUUUAUUGGGCGUAAAGAGCGUGUAGGCGGCCGCACAGGUCCGUUGUGAAAACUGGAGGCUUAACCUUCAGACGUCGAUGGAAACCAUUUGGCUAGAGUCCGGAAGAGGAGAGUGGAAUUCCUGGUGUAGCGGUGAAAUGCGCAGAUAUCAGGAAGAACACCAAUGGCGAAAGCAGCUCUCUGGGACGGUACUGACGCUGAGACGCGAAAGCGUGGGGAGCGAACAGG
rnacentral:rRNA from 1 species